GGGCGAGUGGCGGAAUUGGUAUACGCGAUGGACUUAAAAUCCAUUGGUGUUUAUCCACCUUGUGGGUUCGAGUCCCACCUCGCCUACCA
rnacentral:tRNA from 1 species